rnacentral:rRNA from 1 species
ACGAACGCUGGCGGCGUGCUUCACACCUGCCAGUCGAACGGAAAGGCCCUGCUUGCAGGGUCCUCGAGUGGCGAACGGGUGAGUAACACGUGGGUGAUCUGCCCUGCACUUCGGGAUAAGCCUGGGAAACUGGGUCUAAUACCGGAUAGGAGCCAUUUUUAGUGUGAUGGUUGGAAAGUUUUUUCGGUGUAGGAUGAGCUCGCGGCCUAUCAGCUUGUUGGUGGGGUAAUGGCCUACCAAGGCGGCGACGGGUAGCCGGCCUGAGAGGGUGGACGGCCACAUUGGGACUGAGAUACGGCCCAGACUCCUACGGGAGGCAGCAGUGGGGAAUAUUGCACAAUGGGCGCAAGCCUGAUGCAGCGACGCCGCGUGGGGGAUGACGGCCUUCGGGUUGUAAACUCCUUUCGCUAGGGACGAAGCUUUUUGUGACGGUACCUAGAGAAGAAGCACCGGCUAACUACGUG